rnacentral:rRNA from 1 species
AUUGAACGCUGGCGGCAUGCUUUACACAUGCAAGUCGAACGGUAACAGGCCGCAAGGUGCUGACGAGUGGCGAACGGGUGAGUAAUGCAUCGGAACGUGCCCAGUCGUGGGGGAUAACCACUCGAAAGAGUAGCUAAUACCUCAUACGAUCUAUGGAUGAAAGCGGGGGACCGUAAGGCCUCGCGCGAUUGGAGCGGCCGCUGUCAGAUUAGGUAGUUGGUGGGGUAAAGGCUCACCAAGCCAACGAUCUGUAGCUGGUCUGAGAGGACGACCAGCCACACUGGGACUGAGACACGGCCCAGACUCCUACGGGAGGCAGCAGUGGGGAAUUUUGGACAAUGGGCGCAAGCCUGAUCCAGCAAUGCCGCGUGCAGGAAGAAGGCCUUCGGGUUGUAAACUGCUUUUGUACGGAACGAAACGGCUCUGGUUAAUACCCGGGGCUAAUGACGGUACCGUAAGAAUAAGCACCGGCUAACUACGUG